rnacentral:rRNA from 1 species
CACGUAGGGUGCGAGCGUUGUCCGGAAUUAUUGGGCGUAAAGAGCUCGUAGGCGGUGUGUCGCGUCGGCCGUGAAAACCUGCAGCUUAACUGUGGGCUUGCGGUCGAUACGGGCAUCACUAGAGUUCGGCAGGGGAGACUGGGAUUCCUGGUGUAGCGGUGAAAUGCGCAGAUAUCAGGAGGAACACCGGUGGCGAAGGCGGGUCUCUGGGCCGAUACUGACGCUGAGGAGCGAAAGCGUGGGGAGCGAACAGG